rnacentral:rRNA from 1 species
GAUGAACGCUGGCGGCGUGCCUAAUACAUGCAAGUCGAGCGAACAGACGAGGAGCUUGCUCCUCUGACGUUAGCGGCGGACGGGUGAGUAACACGUGGAUAACCUACCUAUAAGACUGGGAUAACUUCGGGAAACCGGAGCUAAUACCGGAUAAUAUAUUGAACCGCAUGGUUCAAUAGUGAAAGACGGUUUUGCUGUCACUUAUAGAUGGAUCCGCGCCGCAUUAGCUAGUUGGUAAGCUAACGGCUUACCAAGGCAACGAUGCGUAGCCGACCUGAGAGGGGGAUCGGCCACCCUGGAACUUAGACACGGUCCAGACUCCUACGGGAGGCAGCAGUAGGGAAUCGUCCGCAAUGGGCGAAAGCCUGACGGAGCAACGCCGCGUGAGUGAUGAAGGUCUUCGGAUCGUAAAACUGUGUUAUUAGGGAAGAACAAAUGUGUAAGUAACUAUGCACGUCUUGACGGUACCUAAUCAGAAAGCCACGGCUAACUACGUG